rnacentral:rRNA from 1 species
UACGGGGGGGGCAAGCGUUGUUCGGAUUCACUGGGUUUAAAGGGUGCGUAGGUGGGCAGUUAAGUCAGUGGUGAAAUCUCCGGGCUCAACCCGGAAACUGCCAUUGAUACUAUCUGUCUUGAAUAUCGUGGAGGUAAGCGGAAUAUGUCAUGUAGCGGUGAAAUGCUUAGAUAUGACAUAGAACACCAAUUGCGAAGGCAGCUUACUACCCGAAUAUUGACACUGAGGCACGAAAAGCGUGGGGAUCAAACAGG